UUCACAAUUAAUUGGAGGAAUAAACACAAUGAAUUCAGGGAUGCAUCUCCCAUAAAAAAUUCAAUAGAGCACAAUUCUACAUAGCAUCAAAAAUCAAUUGCUAAUCACCCAUUUCACAAAAAUUGCUAAGAACUCAAAAAUUCAGGGAUACAGCAACAAUUCUACAGAACCCAUUUCACAAAAAUUGCUAAGAACUCAAAAAUUCAGGGAUAUAGAAACAAUUCUACAGAACCCAUUUCACAAAAAUUGCUAAGAACUCAAAAAUUGCACAAUUCCAGAUCUGCAAGAAUGGUCGGUGCAGACGGAGGAGGCGGUACACAUGGUGGAGGUGGACAAGAGUGGAGAUGGAGAGCGGUGGACGGUGGAGACGGUGGCGGCCUAGCAGAGGUUCCGGGAUCUGGAAGGGGAGAAGACCGCCAUGGCUGGGAGAGAUGAGAAGGAGAGCGGU
rnacentral:lncRNA from 1 species